rnacentral:sRNA from 1 species
CAAGGGCAGAAUUCGGCAUGUCCUUUUUCGUAUGUAACUA